CCUACGGGGGGCAGCAGUGGGGAAUAUUGCACAAUGGGCGCAAGCCUGAUGCAGCCAUGCCGCGUGUAUGAAGAAGGCCUUCGGGUUGUAAAGUACUUUCAGCGAGGAGGAAGGCGAUAAGGUUAAUAACCUUGUCGAUCGACGUUACUCGCAGAAGAAGCACCGGCUAACUCCGUGCCAGCAGCCGCGGUAAUACGGAGGGUGCAAGCGUUAAUCGGAAUUACUGGGCGUAAAGCGCACGCAGGCGGUCUGUCAAGUCGGAUGUGAAAUCCCCGGGCUCAACCUGGGAACUGCAUUCGAAACUGGCAGGCUAGAGUCUUGUAGAGGGGGGUAGAAUUCCAGGUGUAGCGGUGAAAUGCGUAGAGAUCUGGAGGAAUACCGGUGGCGAAGGCGGCCCCCUGGACAAAGACUGACGCUCAGGUGCGAAAGCGUGGGGAGCAAACAGGAUUAGAUACCCCGGUAGUC
rnacentral:rRNA from 1 species